rnacentral:lncRNA from 1 species
CUGAAUCUAGUGGGUAGAGGUAUACCUCCUGUGAUGCACAGUUCAGCUCCCACCCCCUUAACAAAGAGCUAUCUGGUCUAAAAUGUCAGUAGUGCCAGGAUCGAGAAGCCCAGGUAUAAAUAAUACCAUGCUCAAUGUAACAUGUAAGAGGUAAUAGAAAAGAGUAAAGCAGAAGAAAAUAAAAUAGGCGGUGAAAGUAAAUAAAUGUGAGGUUUGUUAGCAUUUUAAGAUGAUGAACAAGAAAAGUGACUCAGAAUGAAGGCGAUGGAGGGCAAGUUGAGCCAAUCUUCCUCUGUUCAUGGUGGCAUGUGAGGUGGGCUGUGUAGAAUAGCUUAACAGUGGCAGAUUUGGAUGUGCCCUCUAGUUUUAUUUGUUGCACUUUUCUUAUCCCCACUAGUUAGUUACUGGCUUAGUUAUUAGCUUUAACUGUCUCCUGUGCAUGAAAUAUUUGUCACUAAAUUUUGAAGUUUUUAAAAAUAAUACUCUAUUAGAUGUAUACUGGAGAGGAAGACUGAAAAUAAUAUCUCCAUAAUUUGCAGAAGGAAGCUGUGGAAGAUAGAAACUGAAGUGCCUGUCAUAUGGAGAAUAAGACAUUCAACCUUUCUGAUCUGUCUUUUCAGAAACAAGUAUACAUUAUUUCAUAUCAUCUGUAUUAUAUCAUUCUUUGAUCAUAGUUCACCCAUCAUCAAGCAUGGUAAAAUAGUGUUUGCUACGUAUAUGUCUGAAAUGAUCUAAAUUUAAUUAGCCUUCAAAAUCAUGUUCAGUAGAACGAAAGUGGGACCAAUUAGUAAACAAGAAAAUGUUUAACAAAGAUAAUAAUUAACUGGCUUUGUAAUUUAUGGUCUAUCAUUCUGAUUAAUAAUCAGACUUACUGUAUCUAUGGAAACGAAGAGAAAAAAUUGCUCUGCCUGCAACAAAUGUACAAAGAUGAGAAAUAUUUUUCUUCUGUGAAUAAUCAGCACAGAUGUUGACCUCCUUGUUAACCUUGUGUUAUUAUCUGAAUUGCCAGGAGAAAAGCAGAGUCAUGUGGGUGGAGAGCAGAAGAUGGAAAAUUAAGAAAACGUAAUGAAGAUGCCUGAAAGAUGAAUACUAUCAAUUAAUUGGAAGUUUUGAAUUGCUUUCUGAAUUAGGAAAUAAAAGUUUUCAAACCUUCAUGGUUUCUAAGUCAAGCCUGUGAUUCAACUCAUGACUUUGGCCACUUUCUGUACAGUCUUAUAUGUGAAUUUUGAUGGAAAAUCUGUAAGAUUGAGAACAUAAUAAAACCUAAUGAAACAGGGAAGCGAUUUCCAAAGUGCUUUUCAUAAAAAUAAUAUGCUAUUAAUAUUUAAAUGAGAU